AUUGAACGCUGGCGGCAGGCCUAACACAUGCAAGUCGAGCGGAUGAGUGGAGCUUGCUCCAUGAUUCAGCGGCGGACGGGUGAGUAAUGCCUAGGAAUCUGCCUGGUAGUGGGGGACAACGUUUCGAAAGGAACGCUAAUACCGCAUACGUCCUACGGGAGAAAGUGGGGGAUCUUCGGACCUCACGCUAUCAGAUGAGCCUAGGUCGGAUUAGCUAGUUGGUGAGGUAAAGGCUCACCAAGGCGACGAUCCGUAACUGGUCUGAGAGGAUGACCAGUCACACUGGAACUGAGACACGGUCCAGAGUCCUACGGGAGGCAGCAGUGGGGAUUAUUGGACAAUGGGCGAAAGCCUGAUCCAGCCAUGCCGCGUGUGUGAAGAAGGUCUUCGGAUUGUAAAGCACUUUAAGUUGGGAGGAAGGGCAGUAAGUUAAUACCUUGCUGUUUUGACGUUACCAACAGAAUAAGCACCGGCUAACUUCGUGCCAGCAGCCGCGGUAACAC
rnacentral:rRNA from 1 species